rnacentral:rRNA from 1 species
AUUGAACGCUGGCGGCAUGCUUUACACAUGCAAGUCGAACGGUAACAGGCCGCCAGGUGCUGACGAGUGGCGGACGGGUGAGUAAUGCAUCGGAACGUGCCCAGUCGUUGGGGAUAACUACUCGAAAGAGUAGCUAAUACCGCAUACGAUCUAUGGAUGAAAGCGGGGGACCGUAAGGCCUCGCGCGAUUGGAGCGGCCGCUGUCAGAUUAGGUAGUUGGUGGGGUAAAGGCUCACCAAGCCAACGAUCUGUAGCUGGUCUGAGAGGACGACCGGCCACACUGGGACUGAGACACGGCCCAGACUCCUACGGGAGGCAGCAGUGGGGAAUUUUGGACAAUGGGCGCAAGCCUGAUCCAGCAAUGCCGCGUGCAGGAAGAAGGCCUUCGGGUUGUAAACUGCUUUUGUACGGAACGAAACGGCUCUGGUUAAUACCCGGGGCUAAUGACGGUACCGUAAGAAUAAGCACCGGCUAACUACGUG